AGAGUUUGAUCCUGGCUCAGGACGAACGCUGGCGGCGUGCUUAACACAUGCAAGUCGAACGGAAAGGCCCUUCGGGGUACUCGAGUGGCGAACGGGUGAGUAACACGUGGGUGAUCUGCCCUGCACUUUGGGAUAAGCCUGGGAAACUGGGUCUAAUACCGAAUAUGACCAUGCACUUCCUGGUGUGUGGUGGAAAGCUUUUGCGGUGUGGGAUGGGCCCGCGGCCUAUCAGCUUGUUGGUGGGGUAAUGGCCUACCAAGGCGACGACGGGUAGCCGGCCUGAGAGGGUGACCGGCCACACUGGGACUGAGAUACGGCCCAGACUCCUACGGGAGGCAGCAGUGGGGAAUAUUGCACAAUGGGCGCGAGCCUGAUGCAGCGACGCCGCGUGAGGGAUGACGGCCUUCGGGUUGUAAACCUCUUUCAGCACAGACGAAGCGCAAGUGACGGUAUGUGCAGAAGAAGGACCGGCCAACUACGUGCCAGCAGCCGCGGUAAUACGUAGGGUCCGAGCGUUGUCCGGAAUUACUGGGCGUAAAGAGCUCGUAGGUGGUUUGUCGCGUUGUUCGUGAAAACUCACAGCUUAACUGAGGGCGUGCGGGCGAUACGGGCAGACUUGAGUACUGCAGGGGAGACUGGAAUUCCUGGUGUAGCGGUGGAAUGCGCAGAUAUCAGGAGGAACACCGGUGGCGAAGGCGGGUCUCUGGGCAGUAACUGACGCUGAGGAGCGAAAGCGUGGGGAGCGAACAGGAUUAGAUACCCUGGUAGUCCAA
rnacentral:rRNA from 1 species